rnacentral:rRNA from 1 species
AUUGAACGCUAGCGGGAUGCCUUACACAUGCAAGUCGAACGGAGUGGCGAACGGGGGCGUAAUGUAUCGGAACGUGACCAGUAGCGGUGGAUAACUACGCGAAAGCGUAGCUAAUACCGCAUACUAUUGGAGCGGCCGGUAUCGAGUUAGCUAGAUGGUGGGGGAACGGCUACCCAAGGCGACGAUCCGUAGCUGGUUUGAGAGGACGACCAGCCACACGGGGACUGAGACACGGCCCAGACUCCUACGGGAGGCAGCAGUGGGGAAUUUUUGACAAUGGGCGAAACCCUGAUGCAGCCAUCCCGCGUGUAUGAUGAAGGCCUUCGGGUUGUAAAGUACUUUCGGCAGGGAAGCGGUACCUGCAGAAUAAGCACCGGCUAACUACGUGCCAGCAGCCGCGGUAAUAC